UACGUAGGGUGCGAGCGUUAAUCGGAAUUACUGGGCGUAAAGCGUGCGCAGGCGGUUUUGUAAGCCAGAUGUGAAAUCCCCGGGCUUAACCUGGGAAUGGCAUUUGGGACUGCAAGGCUCGAGUGCGGCAGAGGAGACUGGAAUUCCCGGUGUAGCAGUGAAAUGCGUAGAUAUCAGGAGGAACACCGAUGGCGAAGGCAGGUCUCUGGGCUGACACUGACGCUCAUGCACGAAAGCGUGGGGAGCAAACAGG
rnacentral:rRNA from 1 species